rnacentral:lncRNA from 1 species
CUUGGGUGUAAGCUAUUAGGUGGCACCAAGUGUUGAUGCCAUUCCUACAUGGUUUGGAUUUUCUAUAUGGCAUAAGGAAUUUAAAUUUGAUUCAAACAAAUUAAACCUAAUCUCCAAGUGUGACUUGGAGUUUAAGAGUUCUAAUUAGAUUACAACUAAGAAUUUUAAAUGCCCAUAAGGAGGGCUAUGGACAUGGGGCGGUAAUAAGAAGAAGAAGGCUGUAUAGGGGUGUGAAAAAGGAG